CACACACCCCUGGCCAGGGACCAAGGAGCAGGAGCAGGCACUGGGCUCCUGCUCCCCCUUCCCCCGGGCCUUGUUCAGAGCUGAGCCAUGGACUGAGAGCAAGACACAGCAGUACCUUCAAGGGUCUGGGGAGGGGCCCUAUAUGUCCUCUCCUCGCUUGUAUAGAUGCCUGCGCACCUGCUUGUGGCCUCUCCCUGCUUGGAAGCCAGGAAUGGAAGAGGUCUUCUGAUCAGCUUCUUCCUUCCCAUGGUGCAGUGAGACACCCUAGGACCUGGCUCGGGUGUCGUGCCGGAUGUCCCAAGGCAUGGAGAUGCACUGAUGUUCCAGAAAGUUGGCUGUGUGCACAGACGCCACUCUGAGGAACAAGCUUCUGAGGUUCCUAGCAGGUCUGCGGGGUUGGGGUGGGUCUUGUACCGCCCCAAGGAAGUUCAGAGCAUGAGCUACAUUCAAGGUGUCCGCUUGGGUCCAAUGCCUAAUGUAUCAGGCAGGCAGACCGUUCGGUGUGCUUCUGUCCUCUAGAGCCCUGGUCACCAUGUUACGCUUUAAAGCCUCUCUCUUCAGGUGACAGGUAGGUACCUUGUGGUUUUCACAGCUGGCUUUUCCACGAGACCUGCGUUUGUAGCGGUGUCCCGGCCAUGGGCGAGGGAUCUCACUGGGUCUCUGGCCUGACCCCUGUCCACUCUGUCUGAGAGACCUUUUGUGGCUACCACGGGCCCAACGAGGCCCAGGAGGGAGGAGAUGAUGGGGCCUGCUGUGGUCUCUUUGUCUUUAGCUGGAUGCUGCCUUGGAAGAGGUUGUUCUGGUUAACAGGUAACAAUUCAGCUGUGCCCUUGGCAGCCCCUGGAAUGUUCUACACAUUAGAAGGAGAGCUUUGUGCCCCAUAAGACGCUGGCCUGAUGGCCUCUGACAUCUAGGAUCCCUCAGGACCCCCUCUGUCUUAGUCAGGGUUUCUAUUGCUGCAGUGAAACACCAUGACCAAAAAGCAAGUUGGGAGGAAAGGAUUUGCUGGGCUUACACUGCCAGGCCUUACCCAUCAUUAGAGGAAGACAGGACAGGGACUCAAGCAGGGCUGGAACCUGGAUGCAGAGGCCAUGGAGGGGGCUGCUUACUGGCUUGCUCCUUAUGGCUUGCUCAGCCUGCUUUCUUAUAGAACCCAGAACCACAAUUCCAAGGAGGGCACCACCCACCAUGGGCUGGGCCCUCCACCAUUGAUCACUAAUUGAGAAAAUGCCCUACAGCUGGAUCUCAUGGAGGCAUUUCCUCAGCUGAGGCUCCUUCCUCUCUGAUGACUCCAGCUCGUGUCAAGUUGACACACUAAACUUACACCCUCCAAAUGCAAGCUUCUGCAAUGGUGCCCCAAGAACAGCUGCUGAAUCCAGACAGGCUUUUCUGCCCAGAUCGCCACUGCUUUCCUGUACACAGUGAGGCCACUCGCUCUCCCGGCUCCGGUAAGGUGGGGCUCCCACUGUUCCCAUGAGGUGAGUAGGCAGUAGACUGACAAGAGGUCCCUCUUUCUCCGAGUCCUUGCCUUCCCCUCGCUCCCUUGGCCUCUGGGCCUGGCCCAGGUUUCUAGAGAGAGGCUGUGCUGCGUUGGGGUGGGUGGGUAGCCUUUUGGAGUGUGGGGCAUUUGAGCUCCCUCAAAACUGCAACUUCUUUAAGGCUUUCAUCUGUGGGGCAUGGCCCCCUGCAGAUCCCCUGAGGCCUUGUGCCUGCUCCUCCUAGACUCACAUAGGGGCAUAAAAAGCGAUUUCCCGCAGAAGCGGAGCCUUUAAUCGACAUUCUCCUUUUAUGAACAGUUUUAUUACAAAGUAGAUUUCCCGUAGCCUUCUCCAUCAGCCGACCCUCGAGGCCCUGGCUGCCCGUGUCAGUGGGGGUUGCUAAUUGCAGGGGAGGAGACCGGGGGAAGUUCCUUGUGCCAAAGCUGUCCCAUCCCCUGGGUCCUGACCUCCCGGCAGCUCCUUGGGACAGAGGCGGCCCGAGAUACCAUGGCACUCUGAGGACAAGAAGAUGCGGGGGUGGCAGCUGUGGCCCCAGACAGCACUCUUACCGCAAGCCAGCAGCUUGUGACCGCUGCUGGGACACAUGUACAUGUCAAGGUCCCAGCUGCCUUCCUGCUCACAGUGGUGUCACCGUAGCAAGGGAGCGCUUCUGAGGCCCAGCAAUUCUCUGGAAGUCCCCGGGGGUUGCGGGGAGGUGUGGUAGUGUAGACGGGGUUGUCUCACUCCGGCACCCGAGUCCAUGGCUCCGAGGGUCAGCUGCCAGCAGUAGAGCCCUGGCCUCUGUAGAUCUUGGGCAGUGGGACUUAUCGUCAAGAAAGGGUUUUCAGGUCUGACCUUGGAUGCUGUCUUAGUCAGAGUUCUGUCAGUGUGGCAUAAUUAUCUGAGAUAAUCAGGAGGGAAGCUUCAUUUUGUCUCAGUUUCGGAGGCCUUGGCCCCUGUUGCUUGGGCUGUGGUGGCACAGAGCACUGUGGUGGUUAUGCACAGUGGAGGAAGUGCCCUACCUCCAGGAAGCUGGGACAAGGAGUGGGGCUCUAGGAAGGCGACCUAACUGCCCCCUGUGAGGUCCCACUUUCUAAAUGUCACACCACCUCCCAUAGCUGUACAAGCGGAUGACCAGACCUUCAUCACACGGGCCUCAGGAGAACACCCCUAAGUAUACACAUGGUCAGCUGGGCUGAGGAGACCUGGCUGCAGGCUGGUGAUGGAUGGUCGUGCUCCCCAGAACCCUGUUUGGGCAGAGUCUCUAAAGAGACCUGCAUGUGACCAGAAAGGCGCAGCCACAUCUGCUGGACCCUCAUUUCCGAGAUAUUCAUCUGCAAACUUGUCUUCUGCGGGAUGGGCCCUCUCCAGAGCUGGGAAGACAGGAGGUAGACUUGAGUGGCUGGGCCCUGCAGUCUCCUGCUAAGACACUGAGGUUAGGAAAACGGAGCUUGAAGACAGUGACCAGGCUGCCCCGACCCCAGGGACAGCUGCUAACACAUCACAUCUGAUGAAUCAUUCCAGGUGAAGAUCAAAAGACAACCUAUUGAUAAGUGCAAGGAAAGAAAGUUGCUUCGGGGAAGGCUCUGAUACCAAAGUACAGCGGGGCCAUGUAAGUCUCAGAGUAGAGUGAGCUGAAAGAGUGUAUUACUGAGAAAGUGAAUUAAUAAAAAUCAAACAAUACAGCCCCCCAUAAAUGCUGAAAAAUCAACUUAAAAUUGCAGUUAGAACCUAACGUGGAGCUGGAGAGCUCACCCAGAGGUCAAGAGCACUGGCUGCUCCUGCAGAGGGCCCUGCUUCGAGUCCCAGCACCCACGUGGCGGCUUGCAAUGCUAACUUCAGUUCCCAGGGUCCAGUGCCCCCUUCUGGCCUCUGAGGGCACUGAAUGCGCAUGGUGUCUGCAUGCAGGCGAACACUCACACAAUAAAAUAAAUGUAAAUCUUACA